UCACAAUGAUUAAGCUAACUAGCUCACUUUGAACUCGUGUGAAAAGACCUGAACAUCCUGAGUGAC